GGAUUGUGGCUCAGAGGUAGAGCACUUGCCUAGUAUGCAUGAGACACUGGGUUUGAUCCUCAGCACCA
rnacentral:tRNA from 1 species